rnacentral:rRNA from 1 species
GGGUCAGUAGGUUGGUCGUGCCACCGGUACGUACUGGUCUCACUGAUUCCUCCUUCCUAAAGAACCGUAAUGCUAUUAAUUUGGUGUUGCGGGGAAACAGGACUGUUACUUUGAAAAAAUUAGAGUGUUUAAAGCAAGCUAACGCUUGAAUACAUUAGCAUGGAAUAAUGAAAUAGGACGAUCGAUCCUAUUUUGUUGGUUUCUAGGAUUGACGUA